rnacentral:rRNA from 1 species
AGCAGCCGCGGUAAUUCCAGCUCCAAUAGCGUAUAUUAAAGUUGCUGCAGUUAAAAAGCUCGUAGUUGAAUUUCGGGAUCAAUAUGUUGGUCGUGCCUCGGUACGUACUAGCUUAUUGGUUUCUCCCUUCUGACGAACCAUGAUGUCAUUUAUUUGGUGUUAUGGGAAAUCAGGACUGUUACUUUGAAAAAAUUAGAGUGUUUAAAGCAGGCUCACGCUUGAAUACAUUAGCAUGGAAUAAUGAAAUAGGACGUUUGAUUCUAUUUUGUUGGUUUCUAGGAUCGACGUAAUGAUUAAUAGGGAUAGUUGGGGGCAUUAGUAUUCAAUUGUCAGAGGUGAAAUUCUUGGAUUUAUUGAAGACUAACUACUGCGAAAGCAUUUGCCAAGGAUGUUUUCAUUAAUCAAGAACGAAAGUUAGGGGAUCGAAGACGAUCAGAUACCGUCGUAGUC